GGGGUUGUGGCUCAGUGGUAGAGUUCUUGCCUAGCACGUGCGAGGCACUGAGCUCAAUCUUCAGCACCACA
rnacentral:tRNA from 1 species